rnacentral:lncRNA from 1 species
AUGCCAAGUGACGUCUUUCCCUGGGCUAUCGGUAGCGAGGAGAGCGGGCGAGCAAGCCUAAAGGAAAACGAAGCCUGGGGCAGCGCAGCCUGCCCUGCGGCACCCCGGCCGCGCGCGUGGCACCCUCGACAGCCUCGCACGGGCGCCGCGGCUGCCACGCACGGUGGGCAGCGCACGGCCUCCGUGUGCUCCUCGGGGGAAACCGUCCUCUCCCUGCUCGCUCCCCCCAAGCCCUUUAAUCGCACCCCGCUUGUUCUUAACGCCGGCCGGCUGCCGCAGCCCGAGCCCUGCCCUCCAGGGAGGCCGCGAGAACGCGGUGCUCAGGGCUCGGCGACCGCUGGGGAGCUCUUCCACCCAAAUUACCCCAUGACGAAGCAACCCGGCCGACUGCAGGGCGAUAGCCGGGCCUGGCCGGCUGCCUUCAAGGCGGCCCGCUGGCAGCAGCCUGGCCCUCAGCAGCGCCGCCGUGGCCGGUCGCCAACGGCCGCCGCGGGCCGCGCCACGCCCCCCGGCUGCCAGCGAGCGGCACCAGAGCGCCCGCUGCGGCGCUUCCGUUGGGCCGCCCGUGCGGCGGCCAUCUUGGGCUCUGGAAGUGAAGCCGCCGCCACUGAGCCAAGGAAGUGCCUCGCGCCGCCCGGCAGAGGGGGAGCCGGUUGCGGCGCGUUGCACCUGCCCCUGCGGACGCGGAGGCUGCUCCUGAGGAGUGGGGGGGUUUGCCCUGUUCUUACGCCCUCACCGCAGGGGUUCGCAUGCUUCCUCGGCAAUGAACGCGGCCAGAAGUGGCUACCGCGUCUUCUCGGCAAACUCCACGGCGGCCUGCACCGAGCUGGCAAAGAGGAUCACAGAUCCUCAGCGCGGAUAAUCCCCGUGAAGCUGACUGUGCUGUUUGUCCGGGAUCGCUGGUGUUGA